AUUGAACGCUGGCGGCAGGCCUAACACAUGCAAGUCGAGCGGAUGAAGGGAGCUUGCUCCUGGAUUCAGCGGCGGACGGGUGAGUAAUGCCUAGGAAUCUGCCUGGUAGUGGGGGAUAAUGUCCGGAAACGGGCGCUAAUACCGCAUACGUCCUGAGGGAGAAAGUGGGGGAUCUUCGGACCUCACGCUAUCAGAUGAGCCUAGGUCGGAUUAGCUAGUUGGUGGGGUAAAGGCCUACCAAGGCGACGAUCCGUAACUGGUCUGAGAGGAUGAUCAGUCACUCUGGAACUGAGACACGGUCCAGACUCCUACGGGAGGCAGCAGUGGGGAAUAUUGGACAAUGGGCGAAAGCCUGAUCCAGCCAUGCCGCGUGUGUGAAGAAGGUCUUCGGAUUGUAAAGCACUUUAAGUUGGGAGGAAGGGCAGUAAGUUAAUACCUUGCUGUUUUGACGUUACCAACAGAAUAAGCACCGGCUAACUUCGUG
rnacentral:rRNA from 1 species